rnacentral:rRNA from 1 species
GGGUUGUGAGGUUAAGCGACUAAGCGUACACGGUGGAUGCCCUGGCAGUCAGAGGCGAUGAAGGGCGUGCUAAUCUGCGAUAAGCGCCGGUAAGGUGAUAUGAACCGUUAUAACCGGCGAUACCCGAAUGGGGAAACCCAGUGUGACUCGUCACACUAUCAUUAACUGAAUCCAUAGGUUAAUGAGGCGAACCGGGGGAACUGAAACAUCUAAGUACCCCGAGGAAAAGAAAUCAACCGAGAUUCCCCCAGUAGCGGCGAGCGAACGGGGAGGAGCCCAGAGCCUGAAUCAGCAUGUGUGUUAGUGGAAGCGUCUGGAAAGGCGCGCGAUACAGGGUGACAGCCCCGUACACAAAAGCGCAUGUGCUGUGAGCUCGAUGAGUAGGGCGGGACACGUGGUAUCCUGUCUGAAUAUGGGGGGACCAUCCUCCAAGGCUAAAUACUCCUGACUGACCGAUAGUGAACCAGUACCGUGAGGGAAAGGCGAAAAGAACCCCGGCGAGGGGAGUGAAAAAGAACCUGAAACCGUGUACGUACAAGCAGUGGGAGCACAGGUUUACCUGUGUGACUGCGUACCUUUUGUAUAAUGGGUCAGCGACUUAUAUUCUGUAGCAAGGUUAACCGAAUAGGGGAGCCGGAGGGAAACCGAGUCUUAAUUGGGCGUUAAGUUGCAGGGUAUAGACCCGAAACCCGGUGAUCUAGCCAUGGGCAGGUUGAAGGUUGGGUAACACUAACUGGAGGACCGAACCGACUAAUGUUGAAAAAUUAGCGGAUGACCUGUGGCUGGGGGUGAAAGGCCAAUCAAACCGGGAGAUAGCUGGUUCUCCCCGAAAGCUAUUUAGGUAGCGCCUCGUGAAUUCAUCUCCGGGGGUAGAGCACUGUUUCGGCUAGGGGGCCAUCCCGGCUUACCAACCCGAUGCAAACUGCGAAUACCGGAGAAUGUUAUCACGGGAGACACACGGCGGGUGCUAACGUCCGUCGUGAAGAGGGAAACAACCCAGACCGCCAGCUAAGGUCCCAAAGUCAUGGUUAAGUGGGAAACGAUGUGGGAAGGCCCAGACAGCCAGGAUGUUGGCUUAGAAGCAGCCAUCAUUUAAAGAAAGCGUAAUAGCUCACUGGUCGAGUCGGCCUGCGCGGAAGAUGUAACGGGGCUAAACCAUGCACCGAAGCUGCG